rnacentral:lncRNA from 1 species
AGUUCUCAUUUUGUGUGCUCGGCUGACUGCACGUCCAGCCUCGGGCCAGCUCGAGACGGCCACAUUGCCUGGUUGAAGAUGGCUGAGCGUAAAACAGAAUGCAAGUCAGCUGGAGCACGUACUACUGGAGGCAGAGCCCCAUGAGAAGGGGCCAAGAACCCGCACCCAUCAAAAUCAAGAAGAAAGGCUGAACCCGGAGAGAAAAGGGAGUCCUCAGGUGGUGCCAGUUGGUGGGGGAGAAUGUUCCUGGCAUGUGGACUUGAAUCUGGCAGCAACUGAUGUUGCCAUGCAGAUCCCUUGGUUGCUAUGAGAUGGUAACAUCACUCUGCCCCACCAUUGGCCAGUGCCUCCUCAGCUGCGGUGCCUCCCAGGCUGUGUGGUUCUCACGCGGGCCACUGACACAGAGCUGUUACUAUGGUGAACUUUACAAUUUCCUUUGAUUGGUGGAUUUCAGAAAUAGGCCAUCAGCGGAAUUCAUUAUAUUCAGCUAAGUAAAAAUGAAAAAUAAAUACUAUAACUUUCCCCUCAUCACUAACAUGAAGGAAACGUGACCCUUCAUGACAUAAUAAAUCGCUGUUCGGUAACUUAGGAUCCUUCAGGGGACUGAAGCGGGAUGAUCCUCCUAUGCCAAAUUUGGGUGGGAAAGAUAUUCCCUGUAGCUUUGAGUCGACUCUUCAGAGUUAAGGGCAGUGGGCCAACCAGAGUUGGAACUUCAGAGUUGGGAGGAGGUGUGGGAUGGGGCAUGCAUUGAAAUGUAAACUCUAUUGUCUCUGAAGUGAUGGGUGAUGCUGGGGGCCUGAGUGUGGAGGGCAGUUUUACAUCUCAGGACAAUGUUUUCUCAGAUGCUCUUCCAGAAAGAAAAGCCAGGAGUACUCCUGGCUGGAGGCGGCAUGCCUGAGGUCAGAGUCAAAGUAGGGUUUGUGCUGUCUGAAUCCUUUCUCCCACUCUCCCCAGCCUGGCUCAGCUUCUCAGCUUCUCAGGUGGAUUGGCCUCUGAGCCCAAGCCAAGCCAUCGCAUCCCCUGUGACUUGCCCGUAUAUAUGCCCAGAUGGCCUGAAGUAACUGAAGAAUCACAAAAGAAGUGAAUAUGCCUUGCCCCACCUUGACUGAUGACAUUCCACCACAAAAGAAGUGUAAAUGGCCGGUCCUUGCCUUAACUGAUGACAUUACCUUGUGAAAGUCCUUUUCCUGGCUCAUCCUGGCUCAAAAAGCACCCCCACUGAGCAUCUUGCGACUCCCACUCCUGCCCACUGAGCACCUUGUGACCCCCACUCCUGCCUGCCAGAGAACAAACCCCCUUUGACUGUAAUUUUCCUUUACCUACCCAAAUCCUAUAAAACGGCUCCACCCUUAUCUCCUUUUGCUGACUCUCUUUUCUGACUCAGCCCGCCUGCACCCAGGAGAUUAAAAGCUUUAUUGCUCAC